CAGUCGCCACGGUAAUACGGAGGGGGCUAGCGUUGUUCGGAAUUACUGGGCGUAAAGCGCACGUAGGCGGCUUUGUAAGUCAGAGGUGAAAGCCUGGAGCUCAACUCCAGAACUGCCUUUGAGACUGCAUCGCUUGAAUCCAGGAGAGGUCAGUGGAAUUCCGAGUGUAGAGGUGAAAUUCGUAGAUAUUCGGAAGAACACCAGUGGCGAAGACGGCUGACUGGACUGGUAUUGACGCUGAGGUGCGAAGCGUGGGGAGCAAACAGGAUUAGAUACCCGUGUAGUCCCUGUCUCUUAUACA
rnacentral:rRNA from 1 species